UUGAUUCUUCACACCACGAGAUUCUUUUCACCCGCGUGUUUUGUUUUAAUUUUUCUGUGUUUGUAUAUUACAUAUUUUUCUGUGCUUCUGUGUGUUAGUUUUUUUCUGUGUGUUAGUAUUUUUACAUAUUUUUCAUUUCAUAUAAUUUUUGGAUCCAUUGUCUCAGAUAACUGGAUUUAUGAUUUCGCUAGAUAAAUUCUAUUCAUAAAACUUUAAACAAGGAGUAUUUCUUAAACCGUUAGCUUCACAUUUCAACAGUUUAACUGAAAUUUAGCCCACGCAAGAGGAACUGAGUGGGAUAUCGUAGAAUAGAGAAACUAUGGGUGAUACAGAUCAUGACAUUAUUUUUGAAUUCUGCAUGCAAAAGCAUAUGAAAUACAGUGCCCACGCACAUUGUUUUGAAGCCACCCUAAGUAUCAAAGUCUGGAGACGGACCCAAAUACAGAACCAGAGUACUGACCCUGAAAUUUAUAAAUUUUCUUGCCACAGAGACAAGACUGUGUUUUCUACAACAGAGGUUAUAGGAAAAAAUAAAAGAGAAAGAGAGAAAGAAACAAAUAACGAAUGAAAGAAAGAAAGAGAGAAAGUAAGAAAGACAGAACGAAAGAAAGAAUGAAAAAAAGAACUGUAGAAAGACAGAUAAACUACAGCAUUCUUGAAAUGUAUAUUUACAUGAAGUACUAACUACAAAUGAUAGAAUAAAGAAAAAGAAAGGACAAAGUAAUUGUGUAAAAUCUUAUUGCAAAAAUUGUUUCGAAACACCCAUACCUUACGUAAUAACGACAUUCGCACGCUUGAUUUCAUAGGUGUUUGUCGUUCCAGUGAACUUAUUAAGGCAAAUUAAGUGACUUUCCUCAAGAGAAAGAUGGCGAAUGCUUGUGUAAGAAGUUGGAGUUUAAGUUCCUAUCCACUUCAGCAAUACUCCGUGUUAGCUAUGUAACGUACAGCUUGCAUUCACCUUUUCAGGGU